UACGUAGGGUGCAAGCGUUAAUCGGAAUUACUGGGCGUAAAGCGUGCGCAGGCGGUUCUAUAAGUCAGAUGUGAAAUCCCCGGGCUCAACCUGGGAACUGCAUUUGUGACUGUAGAGCUGGAGUACGGCAGAGGGGGAUGGAAUUCCGCGUGUAGCAGUGAAAUGCGUAGACAUGCGGAGGAACACCGAUGGCGAAGGCAAUCCCCUGGGCCUGUACUGACGCUCAUGCACGAAAGCGUGGGGAGCGAACAGG
rnacentral:rRNA from 1 species